UCGAGAAUCAUUCACAAUGGGGGAAACCCUGAUGGUGCGACGCCGCGUGGGGGAUAAGGUCUUCGGAUUGUAAACCCCUGUCAUGUGGGACAUUAAAAGAUAGUACCACAAGAGGAAGAGACGGCUAACUCUGUGCCAGCAGCCGCGGUAAUACAGAGGUCUCAAGCGUUGUUCGGAAUCACUGGGCGUAAAGCGUGCGUAGGCGGUUUCGUAAGUCGUGUGUGAAAGGCGGGGGCUCAACCCCCGGACUGCACAUGAUACUGCGAGACUAGAGUAAUGGAGGGGGAACCGGAAUUCUCGGUGUAGCAGUGAAAUGCGUAGAUAUCGAGAGGAACACUCGUGGCGAAGGCGGGUUCCUGGACAUUAACUGACGCUGAGGCACGAAGGCCAGGGGAGCGAAAGG
rnacentral:rRNA from 1 species